rnacentral:lncRNA from 1 species
UCGUCCUGUUCACAGUGACCUAAACAGGCAUGCCUCAUGCUCAUAACCUUCUCGUUUGUUGUUUUGUAUAUGGAUGUUACAGUAGUUUUUAGUGCGUCUGUCAUGGCCUGGUCUGGCCAGCAAUCUUGGACACUGCAUAUGCAGUACGUGGUUCACAUGACAUCCACCGGCGAAAAGCUUACAACGUACUUGUAGGAACGCAAUGCUACUUUUAGUCACAGAAUUAGACACGGAGCACAAGAUUCAACCGCGUUCAUCGCAAUAAUGCAAUCUGGGACCUGCGCGUCAGACAAACAACAGUCCAGGUUGCAAGAUCUCAGCAGGCAUGGACGUGCUUAACAGAGCUUCCCAAUGACCAUCAAGAUCUGGAUCUAGCCCAUUUUUACAUCUAGAAUCUUGGUGUCAAGAAUCUCAAGUCCCCACUGGCCCAGCUGAGGGACUGUUUAGUUGAAGCUGUGUUAGAAUCUGUAAGGAGGAUUUGUUGAGUGUCUGGGGACCUUAGAUCUCCAACAACCGGCAAUGUUAUUAAUACCUUCUUCCCGUAUGUCUAGUCUUGCUGCUAAUAUAGGAAAAAACAAUUCCAUCCAUCGUAAAAAACCAAACAAUUCAAGAAUGUGGUGAUCAUGCUCAAUACUAAUGCCGACAGCCCCAUUUCCUCAAUC